rnacentral:rRNA from 1 species
GUGACGCGCAUCCUAUAAUGCAGUCCGACGCUUCUUUUUCACCGGAGCUUGCUCCACCGGAAAAAGAGGAGUGGCGAACGGGUGAGUAACACGUGGGUAACCUGCCCAUCAGAAGGGGAUAACACUUGGAAACAGGUGCUAAUACCGUAUAACAAUCAAAACCGCAUGGUUUUGAUUUGAAAGGCGCUUUCGGGUGUCGCUGAUGGAUGGACCCGCGGUGCAUUAGCUAGUUGGUGAGGUAACGGCUCACCAAGGCCACGAUGCAUAGCCGACCUGAGAGGGUGAUCGGCCACAUUGGGACUGAGACACGGCCCAAACUCCUACGGGAGGCAGCAGUAGGGAAUCUUCGGCAAUGGACGAAAGUCUGACCGAGCAACGCCGCGUGAGUGAAGAAGGUUUUCGGAUCGUAAAACUCUGUUGUUAGAGAAGAACAAGGAUGAGAGUAACUGUUCAUCCCUUGACGGUAUCUAACCAGAAAGCCACGGCUAACUACGUGCCAGCAGCCGCGGUAAUACGUAGGUGGCAAGCGUUGUCCGGAUUUAUUGGGCGUAAAGCGAGCGCAGGCGGUUUCUUAAGUCUGAUGUGAAAGCCCCCGGCUCAACCGGGGAGGGUCAUUGGAAACUGGGAGACUUGAGUGCAGAAGAGGAGAGUGGAAUUCCAUGUGUAGCGGUGAAAUGCGUAGAUAUAUGGAGGAACACCAGUGGCGAAGGCGGCUCUCUGGUCUGUAACUGACGCUGAGGCUCGAAAGCGUGGGGAGCAAACAGGAUUAGAUACCCUGGUAGUCCACGCCGUAAACGAUGAGUGCUAAGUGUUGGAGGGUUUCCGCCCUUCAGUGCUGCAGCUAACGCAUUAAGCACUCCGCCUGGGGAGUACGACCGCAAGGUUGAAACUCAAGGAAUUGACGGGGGCCCGCACAAGCGGUGGAGCAUGUGGUUUAUUCGAAGCACGCGAAGACCUUACCAGUCUUGACAUCCUUUGACCACUCUAGAGAUAGAGCUUCCCCUUCGGGGGCAUAGUGACAG